rnacentral:rRNA from 1 species
AUGGCAUCUUCACGGGCGAUUGGAUCUGAGCUCUCGUCCCUGGUUCCCGAUGCUGACGGCGUCAUCACAGCGUCAACACAACAAACACACCGGAGUCAACGGCGCCGUCCUCCCUUUCCUCCGCGCCCGCCGAUGCGGGCCGCGUCUUCGUGUCCUCGGCCAUGCUGCCAGCGGCAGCCAUGCGGUCUGGCGUCGGUGCCGACGGAGUUCCCGUGUUAUCCCCUGCAUCGCGAGCGCAGUGCCGGCCUGCCUACGUCGGGGUUGCUCGCCACAUGGCCGACAUGGAGGUGGAGACGCUGCGACCAGUUUCAUCACCAAGCUGCAUCCCUGAACCUCCAAAGCGAGCAUUAUUCAUGUAUAGCCAUCUCUCUGGAAUUCUGGAGUGGCCUGUGGACGAGUAGGAGCUGCUGUCUCACGUCUCGAGUUUCUACUGCGGACCGUCCGCAGAAGACGCUGAUAUAG